rnacentral:ncRNA from 1 species
GUGGGAAGCGCACGGCCGCAAAUCCGACGUUGUCAUCCGGGCUUUCGGAUGGCUUGGGAUUGCGGAAGUGC